UACGUAGGGGGCAAGCGUUGUCCGGAAUCAUUGGGCGUAAAGAGCGUGUAGGCGGCCAGAUAAGUCCGCUGUGAAAUCUCGAGGCUCAACUUCGAGCUGUCGGUGGAAACUGUCUGGCUAGAGUCCGGAAGAGGCGAGUGGAAUUCCUGGUGUAGCGGUGAAAUGCGCAGAUAUCAGGAGGAACACCAAUGGCGAAGGCAGCUCGCUGGGACGGUACUGACGCUGAGACGCGAAAGCGUGGGGAGCAAACAGG
rnacentral:rRNA from 1 species